UACGUAGGUGGCAAGCGUUGUCCGGAUUUACUGGGCGUAAAGAGCGCGCAGGCGGUCGUUCAAGUCGCGUGUGAAAGCCCCCGGCUCAACUGGGGAGGGUCACGCGAUACUGAUCGACUCGAAGGCAGGAGAGGGUAGUGGAAUUCCCGGUGUAGUGGUGAAAUGCGUAGAUAUCGGGAGGAACACCAGCGGCGAAGGCGGCGACCUGGACAGUAACUGACACUCAACUACGAAAGCGUGGGGAGCAAACAGG
rnacentral:rRNA from 1 species